GACUAUUUUUUAUCUAUAAGUCUUGGCCAAAUUACGUGCCAGCAGUCGCGGUAAUACGUAAAAGACGAGUGUUAUUCAUCUUUAAUCGGUUUAAAGGGUACCUAGACGGAAAAUCAAGCUUAAUUAAACUAAGGACUAGUUUUCUAGAGUUUGACAUGAGAAGGUACGAACUAUCAGAGGAGAGAUAAAAUUUGUUGAUACUGGUGGGACGGACAACGGCGAAGGCAAUCUUCUACUAAAAACUGACGUUGAGGGACGAAGCCUUGGGGAGCGAGAAGGAUUAGAUACCCUAGUAGUCCUUGGAGAAAAUUAUGAGUGCCAUAGACUAAAGUGAAAAAGAAGUUCUUUUAAAAGAACUUUGUAUCUGAGCCUUAAUUGGAUACAAAGGUCUGGAGUAGCAGUUUAUAAAUGAAAGUGUAAGCAUUCCACCUCAUGACUAAAGCGGCAACGCCCAAAUUGAAAUCAUUAGACCGUUUCUGAAACCAGUAGUGAAGUAUGUUAUUUAAUUCGAUAACCCGCGAAUAACCUUACCACGUUUUGAAUUUAUUAAACAAGUGUUGCACGGCUGUCUUCAGUUAAUGUCGUGAGAUUUUGGUUUGUUCCAUUAAUUAACGAAAACCCUUGUUUCAUUUUUAUAUGAAAUAGUUCACCGUUAUAUUGGAAAGAUAAAAGGGAUCAAGACAAGUCAUCAUG
rnacentral:rRNA from 1 species